rnacentral:rRNA from 1 species
CAGCCGCCGCGGUAAUACGUAGGGUGCGAGCGUUAAUCGGAAUUACUGGGCGUAAAGCGUGCGCAGGCGGUGAUGUAAGACAGAUGUGAAAUCCCCGGGCUCAACCUGGGAACUGCAUUAGUGACUGCAUCGCUGGAGUGCGGCAGAGGGGGAUGGAAUUCCGCGUGUAGCAGUGAAAUGCGUAGAUAUGCGGAGGAACACCGAUGGCGAAGGCAAUCCCCUGGGCCUGCACUGACGCUCAUGCACGAAAGCGUGGGGAGCAAACAGCAUUAGAUACCCCCGUAGUCCCUGUCUCUUAUAA